GUCACUGUGAUUAACUGGCCAUUGACGAUGUUCAUCAACAUGGUGCUAUGGGGUGUAAUGCUGUUAAUAGCCUGUGGUGUUAUGUCCAACACUCUUCGAAAAUAUUAUAGCAAGAAGAUCUAUAAUACACUAUGUAAUUCCCUGGACACUGAUAAAGUCGGUGUAACAUGCUUUCAUCUUAUUAGUGCUACGGUUUGCUGUUUCAUUGCAACCAUUAUUUUUGCAGUCGAUGCAAACUUAAACUAUCAUUUAUUCAAAAGCAGAACUUGUACGACGACGCCAGUGACAUUAAUUAAAUAAUCAGUUGAAACUGUAGCUAUUUUCUCACCGAUUUUACUUAAAACUGUACUUCUGUUAAAUAAAUGAAGCAAACAAACUGAGUUUCAACUCAUUAUUCA